GACGAACGCUGGCGGCGUGCUUAACACAUGCAAGUCGAACGGAAAGGCCCUGCUUUUGUGGGGUGCUCGAGUGGCGAACGGGUGAGUAACACGUGAGUAACCUGCCCUUGACUUUGGGAUAACUUCAGGAAACUGGGGCUAAUACCGGAUAGGAGCUCCUGCUGCAUGGUGGGGGUUGGAAAGUUUCGGCGGUUGGGGAUGGACUCGCGGCUUAUCAGCUUGUUGGUGGGGUAGUGGCUUACCAAGGCUUUGACGGGUAGCCGGCCUGAGAGGGUGACCGGCCACAUUGGGACUGAGAUACGGCCCAGACUCCUACGGGAGGCAGCAGGGGGGAAUAUUGCACAAUGGGCGGAAGCCUGAUGCAGCAACGCCGCGUGCGGGAUGACGGCCUUCGGGUUGUAAACCGCUUCCGCCUGUGACGAAGCGUGAGUGACGGUAAUGGGUAAAGAAGCACCGGCUAACUACGUG
rnacentral:rRNA from 1 species